UGACUCCUAUUAUGGGUAUUGGUUUAGCCACUGGCGCGCCUGAUACCCAUCCGGCGCCCACAUCAAGGGGACGCCAACCAGAGAAUUCUCUAACCCCCCGGUCGGCUUCCCGACCGGGGG
rnacentral:sRNA from 1 species